GAUGAAGAACGUAGCGAAAUGCGAUAAGUAAUGUGAAUUGCAGAAUUCAGUGAAUCAUCGAAUCUUUGAACGCACAUUGCGCCCGCCAGCAUUCUGGCGGGCAUGCCUGUUCGAGCGUCAUUUCAACCUCGAGCCCCCCCGGGGGCCUCGGUGUUGGGGGACGGCACACCAGCCGCCCCCGAAAUGCAGUGGCGACCCCGCCGCAGCCUCCCCUGCGUAGUAGCACACACCUCGCACCGGAGCGCGGAGGCGGUCACGCCGUAAAACGCCCAACUUUCUUAGAGUUGACCUCGGAUCAGGUAGGAAUACCCGCUGAACUUAAGCAUAUCAAUAAGCGGAGGA
rnacentral:misc_RNA from 1 species